GACGAACGCUGGCGGCGUGCCUAAUACAUGCAAGUAGAACGCAGUUGCGAACGGGUGAGUAACGCGUAGGUAACCUGCCUCAUAGCGGGGGAUAACUAUUGGAAACGAUAGCUAAUACCGCAUACUGUGAGAUGGACCUGCGUUGUAUUAGCUAGUUGGUGAGGUAAAGGCUCACCAAGGCGACGAUACAUAGCCGACCUGAGAGGGUGAUCGGCCACACUGGGACUGAGACACGGCCCAGACUCCUACGGGAGGCAGCAGUGAGGAAUAUUGGUCAAUGGACGCAAGUCUGAACCAGCCAAGUAGCGUGCAGGAUGACGGCCUAUGGGUUGUAAACUGCUUUUAUAUGGGGAUAGGUACCAUAUGAAUAAGGACCGGCUAAUUCCGUGCCAGCAGCCGCGGUAAUUC
rnacentral:rRNA from 1 species